rnacentral:tRNA from 2 species
UGGGCCAUAGCCAAGUGGUAAGGCAUCAGGUUUUGGUCCUGAGAUGCGCUGGUUCGAAUCCAGCUGGCCCAGCCA